rnacentral:lncRNA from 10 species
CCGUGGGAGGGAAGGCACUCUCUGUCAAGCUGCUGUCACCUUACCUGAAGUAAGGAGUCCACGCCUGCAUGUCCGAGGAAAACAGUUUUCUCAAACACAUUAGUUGAAAAACUGAAGACGCUGCCUAAAAUACAAGCUGAGUUAGAGACAGCCCUUGUAAGACUAGAAAAAGAAAUGGAAACUAAGUAACAUGAAUUAACAUAGUCCAGGGUCACAAAGCAACAUGGAACAAGAACCUGGAUCUGAAUUCAGAGGCAGAAUGCUGGGAAAGGCCUUGUGAGGACAUAACCAGGAAGAGAGUCCUCACCAGAACCUGACCAUACCUGCACCCUGAUCUCAAGCUUCCAGCUUCCAGAACCAUGAGAAAUCAAUGUUUGUUGUUUUAGCCACCCAGUCUACAGAAAUUUGUUAUAGCCACCCUAGCUGACUACCACAUUGGACAUCACAGCAAACACUACAACCACAAGUCCAGUUGGCUCCACAAGCUUGAGCUCACCAUUUCUCACCAGCUCCACCGCUACCUCCAAAUAAAAGAAAUGGCUGAAAUCCUUUGGAACCAAUAUGACCAACUGGAGUCGGUGCAGAAGGAGCUUGCUGACAACGCAGCCUGAAUUUCCACCCUAUGUUUCAUACCAACUCCCCCUGAAUUUGCACAUGUGAUACAUGAGAUAGCAUGAAGAGAUAACUGAGCAUGCCCAAGGACUUUCCAGACUUCUGCUUUCCUUCCACCAAUCACCUGCUAAUCUCAGAAUCCACCCCCUGAAACUUUUCUAAUAAAAA